rnacentral:rRNA from 1 species
GUAGGUGGCAAGCGUUGUCCGGAAUUAUUGGGCGUAAAGCGCGCGCAGGCGGUUCUUUAAGUCUGAUGUGAAAGCCCACGGGCUCAACCGUGGAGGGUCAUUGGAAACUGGAGAACUUGAGUACAGAAGAGGAAAGCGGAAUUCCACGCGUAGCGGUGGAAUGCGUAGAGAUGUGGAGGAACACCAGUGGCGAAGGCGGCUUUCUGGUCUGUAACUGACGCUGAGGCGCGAAAGCGUGGGGAGCAAACAGGAUUAGAUACCCUGGUAGUCCACGCCGUAAACGAUGAGUGCUAAGUGUUAGGGGGUUUCCGCCCCUUAGUGCUGCAGCUAACGCAUUAAGCACUCCGCCUGGGGAGUACGGCCGCAAGGCUG